ensembl:miRNA Gm44477 predicted gene, 44477
ACAUGCUUACACUGCCUGAUUCAGUUACUGUGGAGUGAGGCCUGAGAAUUUGCGUCUCUGACAAGUUCCCAGGAGAUGCUGAUGCUAUCAAUCUUAAGGCAUGUUUGGAA